GUCAUUCAUACAUAUUUGUCAUUGUGUAACCCAAAAUAAUGACAGUGCGAAAGGAAGUGUUCGUGUCACAGAUAGUGUGGCUGCUUGUUUUGCUUUGUGUACAUGGUUUUUCGGUGAAACCUAUUUUCAGCUGUGAAAAGAUGAGCAACGAUGAAAUUGUAACGUUCUUGAUGGAAUUGGGGCAUUUACCGACGUCUUAUAACCAAACUGAAAAUAAAAAUCAAUUGAAAGAAGCGAUCAAGUCAUAUCAACAAUCAAAUCGAAUACGAGUGUCUGGGUUCAUUGACCAUAACACAUGUAAAUUAAUGACGCAACCGCGUUGUGCUGGAAUGAUAUUACCACAAUCAUUACAUUCUUCAAAAGAGGAUCACUUGAAGCAUCGAGUACGACGAUUUGCAAACUUUGAAUUGAGAUGGCCCAGAACAAAUCUCACAUGGCGACUUGUCGAUGAAAAUAUAAAUAAUUUGAACGUUGAUUGGGUAAAAGGUAUUCUGAAACAAGCUCUUGAUGUUUGGUCACGCGAAACGCCAUUAAACUUUUGUGAAGUGAACACAAAACGUGCAGAUAUUGAAGUUGGAUUCUCGCGGUAAAUUUUCGUUACAUAUCCCAAACGUUUCUGAUCUUGCGAACUUCAAGCCAUGUUCAAAACAACACAAAAAAUAUUAGGCUAUGCCAAUCCUCCGAAUCCCGUAAAAGUUAUUCUUCGAUUCAAUGCCGAACAAAAUUGGACACCAUCGCCAGAUAAUAAAGAUUCCGGAUCCGAUCUAAUGUAUGCAGCAGUGCAUGAGUUCGGCCAUGCGUUGGGUCUAGAUCAUUCGAAUGUUGAAGAGGCAGUUAUGUAUGCAUCUUACAGAAACGAGUUUAAGGGGUUGCACGAAGAUGAUCGAAAUGGAAUACAAAUCUUGUAUGGACCGCGCGGCAAGGAUCGAAGCAAAAAAGCACGUAUGCUGCGUUUCAUGAAAGGAGUACGAAACAAUGUUCGAUGGAAAAUGCUUGCCAUUUCAGAACCAAUCAAGAAGAUUUUCCGCUAUGUUUUCUAAUCUAUAACAAUUAUGCA